GCCGUGCCGCCGCAGGAGCGUGGGGCAGGCAGCAGGCCUGCAGGGAGCAGCCGGCAGUGUGGCACGGCAGGCCGAGCGCGGGUUCAAAGCAAUGCCCAACCCAGAUUCCAGUUCAUUGUCAUGAAUCGCCGGAAAACUGGUAUUUUAGCAUGUAAUUUUCUUGAGCUUGUUUGAUCUGGUAUGAUAGAUUAUUAUUCUUCCCUUUGCAAGACUUACACAUGAGAAUAAUUCAAUCAUGUGACAUGAAUGGUGAUCGGUAUGAACCUGCCGGUUCAAAACUUCAAGUAGCAUAUUGGGGAACUGUUUUUUU